GAAAAGCUAGCUUCCGCUUACCACGAAGCAAAAUAAUAAAAAAAAAGCAUUAAAGUGCUAUAGCGAACGGUGGUAGGAUUCCACACACGUAUCUCCCGACUUGAUUAGAGACACUCUCGCCCACUCUUUGCCACGUAAGUUUUAUCUCGCCUCUCAACCGAGAACAAUGAGCUCAUAGAGCUUCCGCUUCGAUGAUUCGAAAAAGAUAUUGGGGAGAGAAUAGGUAGAAGAACCUGAACGUCAUUACCGUUAGUCUUCCAUGGAGUCCUCUGACUUCAAAGUGACGUACAUAUCCGUAUUUAUAAUCAUUAAUCUCAAGAAUACUAUUACUGCACUUCUUCCGUAGCGAAUCACUGGGAUUCAUUCGUAGAAAUGCAAAAGUCACGAGAGCCAAUCUUAAAAUGAAUUAAUUAUAAACCAAUUUCAUAAAUCUAAAUGUAUUCUUUCUCUCAAUCUCUAAAAGUGAAUCAGUGAUUUCAAUGCUACACUUAUAACUGAUAUAAUCAUCAGCAAAUGUUUACUGUUUUUUAGUAAUGGUACACUGAUCUUUCUCUCUCUCUAUCUUUCUCUUUCAAAAAGCAAGAGAAAUUGAAUAUAAACAAACUACAGUUCGCACGAGUGCUAUAGGCUCGAAUUAGUUAUGUAAUAGGAGAAAAAGAUGGCCGGGGUCGGUGAUUUACGCAUUCCGCUUCUGCUAGGCGCAACAAAGGCAGUGUGACGUGUCCGAAUACACACUUCCUCCUUCCUCUGUCUCUUUCAUCUCUUUACAUCGCGCUCCUCUCUGCCUUUCGCGCUCUGUGCGGUCCUUCCUAUCCUGACGAAGGUUUCUCACUCGCUCCUCGCGUUUUCAUCUCGCGCUCCGUCACUCCCACUCCGGCACUUCCUCUUCUUCUGGCCGGUUUCUCGCGGUUGCGGUGCGGCCUUGCAAUGCUGCAGGCACGGUCGCAUCCCCUCUCGUCCCGCCGACACCGCCGCUGCUGCACCGUUGCAGCUGCAACAGCAACGGAGGCGGCCGCAACGGCCGAUGCACACUAUUGCAGAGGCAGCGAGGUAACUACGAGGUAGUUGCAGCGCUGGUUCACCUCGUAGUACGAGGACGAGACAUUGGCCUACCACGCUCGACCUUGCCAGUUCGUUACUCUUUCCCCGCUUCUCUUAUGCAUUAUACACGGCUAUCCGCCUCUCGGCCCUGUGUCGUUGUCCUCCCUGUCCCUGCUCUUCGUCUCUCCCUCAGCAUUUCUAUCGUUUCUGUUUCCCUCGUUGUAUUUUCUCCUUCUUCUCCUCUUCCUUACCCCUUUUCUGCGUGUCUCAGUACUUCCCUUUCAAUUUGUCUCCUUUUCGUCUAUUUUCCCUGGUCCAUCUCAUUCCUGCCGACUUACCCGUCGCACCAUGUUUCUCUCUCGUCCUUCUCUCUCUUUCUGUCUCUCUGCGAUGCGAUGGCGACGAAUGGGUAAGGCGCAUCGUCAUCAUGCGAUCUCAUUUAUCGCGGCUGACCCCCCUCGAAUUCAGAUAGUGGUGGAACUCACUAUCUGAGAUAACGACGGAAAGAAGAAAGCGAUUGCAAACGGGAGCACAAGUGAUAAUGAUAGUGACAGCAAAGGUUAUAGUGAUGGCGACAGCAACAGAAAAGACUGCUACCAUUGGAAAUGAUUGUCGUCCACACGAUGCAUACAACUAGUUACGAUCCAAAUUAUAAUUAACAAUAAUAUCGAUGUGACGGUCCCCCACACCUACAUAUGCACAACACAAGAUAUGCAUGUUGUUCGGUGUGUCGUCAUCGAGCUUCGUUAACGCGGCGCUUCAUGCCAUUACGCGGCCCCCGAGACUAUAAAUUUUACAAAUUGCCCCGAUCGAAUCGUAAAGCAAUGCCAUGGCGGUGAGAGCCAUGUCUUAUAUCUCGCGUCUGAACGAUGGAUCGCGUUACUACCAUUUUAUCGACGCAUUUUUCUCUCCGCGUGAUCGAUUAGAAGGGACGCUCUCCGAGCGUAUACCGAUAAUGCAGCCCCUCGUUAAUUGGUUGCGAUCACUCGACUGGGAAAAAAGGGAGACAUCGCAGGACAAACGGCAAUCAUGAUUGUCACGCCUACGUGAGAUAGUAAGAGAAGGAAUAUCUUAUUAGCAUAUCAUUUUGCGUCGUUUUCAUUCGCAACGCCGUCGCAGAAUGGCACAAUGUUUGUCCAACUGAAAUUGCUUUCGCCACGAUGUAUUUUCUUAUAAAACAGUCCGUGCCCAGCGUCACGAUAAAGAUUUCAAUAUAGGACGGUGCAUUGAGCGGUGCUUUGAAAUAAAAACCAGCGUGACAGCAGGGUGCUUUGUACUAAAUAAUAGAAACGGGCGAUUCUCCAAAACCUUAUAAAGCAAUCAUAUUACUUUGCCUUGAUACCACU